UACGUAGGGUGCGAGCGUUGUCCGGAAUUAUUGGGCGUAAAGAGCUCGUAGGCGGUGUGUCACGUCGGCCGUGAAAACCUGCAGCUCAACUCCGGGCCUGCAGUCGAUACGGGCGGACUUGAGUGUUGCAGGGGAGACUGGAAUUCCUGGUGUAGCGGUGAAAUGCGCAGAUAUCAGGAGGAACACCGGUGGCGAAGGCGGGUCUCUGGGCAACUACUGACGCUGAGGAGCGAAAGCGUGGGGAGCGAACAGG
rnacentral:rRNA from 1 species